GGAACUCUGGAGAAGGAACUCGGCAAAUUGACACCGUAACUUCGGGAGAAGGUUGCCUCUAGUAGGUGAACCCGUACAGGGGGAGCCCAAUGAGGUCUCAGAAAAUCGGUGGCUGCGACUGUUUAUUAAAAACACAGCACUCUGCAAACACGAAAGUGGACGUAUAGGGUGUGACGCCUGCCCGGUGCUGGAAGGUUAAGUGAUGGGGUGCAAGCUCCUGAUCGAAGCCCCAGUAAACGGCGGCCGUAACUAUAACGGUCCUAAGGUAGCGAAAUUCCUUGUCGGGUAAGUUCCGACCUGCACGAAUGGCGUAACGCUGGCCACACUGUCUCCUCCAGAGUCUCAGCGAAGUUGAGAUGGUUGUGAUGAUGCAAUCUACCCGCGGCUAGACGGAAAGACCCCGUGCACCUUUACUGUAACUUUGCAUUGGACUGUGAACCGAUCUGUGUAGGAUAGCUGGGAGGCUUUGAAGUGGGGGCGCUAGCUCUCAUGGAGCCAACGUUGAAAUACCAGCCUGAUUGUUUUGCGGUUCUAACCUAGGCUCGUCAUCCGGGCCGGGGAUCGUGCAUGGUAGGCAGUUUGACUGGGGCGGUCUCCUCCCAAAGAGUAACGGAGGAGUACGAAGGUACGCUUACCACGGUCGGAAAUCGUGGCUUAAUGUGCAUUGGCAAAAGCGUGCUUGACUGCGAGACGUACAUGUCGAGCAGGUGCGAAAGCAGGUCAAAGUGAUCCGGUGGUUCUGUAUGGAAGGGCCAUCGCUCAACGGAUAAAAGGUACGCCGGGGAUAACAGGCUGAUUCCUCCCAAGAGUUCAUAUCGACGGGGGAGUUUGGCACCUCGAUGUCGGCUCAUCACAUCCUGGGGCUGUAGCCGGUUCCAAGGGUAUGGCUGUUCGCCAUUUAAAGUGGUACGUGAGCUGGGUUUAAAACGUCGUGAGACAGUUUGGUCCCUAUCUACCGUGGGCGUUGGAAGUUUGAGGGGGGCUGCUCCUAGUACGAGAGGACCGGAGUGGACGCAUCCCUGGUGUACCGAUUGUCACGCCAGUGGCAUUGUCGGGUAGCUAUAUGCGGAAGGGAUAACCGCUGAAAGCAUCUAAGCGGGAAACCUGCCCCAAGAUGAGACUUCCCGGAGGCUUGACCUCCCUGAAGGGUCGUCCUAGACCAGGACGUUGAUAGGCUGGGUGUGCAAGGGCUGCGAGGCCUUCAGCUAACCAGUACUAAUUGCCCGUGUGGCUUGACCCC
rnacentral:rRNA from 1 species